UACAGAGGGUGCGAGCGUUGUUCGGAAUUACUGGGCGUAAAGCGCGCGCAGGCGGCUCGUUAAGUCUACGGGUGAAAUGCCGGGGCUCAACCCCGAGCGUGCCCGAGAUACUGGCGGGCUGGAGACGAGUAGAGGCGAGCGGAAUUCCGGGUGUAGCGGUGGAAUGCGUAGAGAUCCGGAAGAACACCGGAGGCGAAGGCGGCUCGCUGGGCUUGGUCUGACGCUGAGGCGCGAAAGCGUGGGGAGCGAACAGG
rnacentral:rRNA from 1 species